rnacentral:misc_RNA from 1 species
UGAGGCCAUGUGUACAUAUACAUAGAGACAGAAGUGGGUAGAUUGUAAAUCAUCUCUCAGUGUUUACCCAGAUUCUUCAAGAUGCAGAUUAUAUAAGGAGAAGAACUGAGAUUUGUAAGUGUAGAGGGAGGAGUUUCUGUUUCAUCAUCAAACACAGCCAGAUCAAAUGGAAUCAAUGGUAAAACCAAACCAGUAAAGACUGAAGGGAAAUUCAUAUCACAGAUCAAGAAAAAUCUAUCUCAGGGCAGAGACUCAGAGGGUGAUCAAGAGAACAGCCUUACUGGGAAAAAACCCACAAAAAAUACAGAAAAAUCAAAGACAAGUAGUGGCUCAGUGUUCAGUCGACUAAGUGAACCAACAAUCAGUAGUGCGAAGAAAUCGGUUAAACCUGUCGAAACAGCAAAGCCAAAUCCUAUCAAAGGGGGUAAAACAAGUGUAGGUAAAGAUAGUCCCAAAGUGCCAGCUCCCAAAGAAAACACAGCAACCAAAAAGCAACCCCCUCCUGUUUUGGAGAAGCCAAAAAAGAGUCAAAGUAAAGAGGAAGUUGUAGAAAACAAGGAAAGCUCCAAAGAUUUGGAGAACAAACCUAAACAACAGUACACCAGAGAGGAAGAGGCAUUGAAAAAAGACUCCGAAAACCCCAUAGUAGAAGAGGUUGAACAUAUUGAAUAUCCAGAAAUCUUAGAAUUUAAUAAAGAAUUACUUCAAGAGGAAGAAAGAAGAGCUGCUCAGAAGGAAGAAACAGAGCAAAGACUUGAUUCUGACAGUCUCAAUGCAAAUAAUCCCAGUAGAUUAAGGAAAAUCUCUGAAGAUUCAGGGGACUCCUCAUCAGGCAGUUACCUGAAUUUAAAGCAGAAGUUUUUUGACAACCAGGAGACCACUUUUUGCACGUUGGACAUAAACAGUGAAAUGGCUACUGCUGCUGUCGCUCCACAAGAAGAGGAUGGGAUCCUCCCAAAUCCAACAGAAAGGAUUGUUAUAUCUGAAAAUAAGGUGAAAUACAUCAAUACCAAUUACAAGAAAGUCUCUGCAAAGAUGUAUGACUACAGAUGCGACAUCAAACUCAAAGUUGGAGACCAGAAUUUCAAAGCUCAUCGAGACGUUCUCUCUGAAGCAAGUGACUACUUCUCCGCCAUGUUUUCUCACAACAUGAAGGAGAAGGGACAGGAUGAAAUAGAAUUGAAAGACAUUAGCCCAAAAGGCUUUUCUGCCAUGUUGGAUUAUUUCUAUCAUGGUCAUGUGACCCUAGAGCCAUCAAAAGUGGAGGAGGUUAUUGAGGGUGCAAGGUUUUUCCAUGUGGAUUGGCUGUUAGAGGUUUGUUGCGAGUUUCUGAUCCAACACCUUAGUUUAGACAACUACAAUGCUGUGAUGGAAAUAACAGAUAAAUACUAUCUUGGAGAUCUGAGAUGGGACAUUUUUAGAUUCAUUGGUCAAAAUAUAGCAGAACUUACUCAACAGGAGAGCUUCUUUGAAAAUCUUUCAUUAGAACUUCUGCUGCAGUUUUUGAUGGAGAAUAUUUAUUCUGAAGCAUCUGAGUUCUAUCUUCUUGAUGUUGUGUUGAGGUGGGUGAAAACUGAUGAGAAAAAUAGAAAAGAACACCUGCUCUCUCUUCUUCGACAAAUCAGAUUUCAUACAAUGGAAACUGAAGAACUGGAAGCUCUUGCUCCAGAAGUGCUGGAGUUUCCGGAAAUCAGAGAUAUUGUGGAAGAUGCCAUGAAUUACUCGCUGAACAUCAUGGGGCAGUGCCUAAAAUAUGGAGAUAUGUACAAGCAGAGAGGGGCUCGACCAGUCAUUACUAUCUUAUCCUUCACUAAUGAUGGGAAUAUCUUAGUGUACAGAGACCCAUCAAAGUGUGGACUCUUUGUAGAAGAACUUGGUCCAUGUGGAUUGGACACUGCAUCAUACCAGGCCAUGAGUCAAGCCAAGAUCGGGAACUUUUUGUAUGCUGCAGGAGGCUAUGAUGAUAUGUACUGUACAGUUGGAAGAGUCUUCAUGUUUGAUCCAAAAUACAGAGGCUGGACUGAAGUAGCGUCAAUGAAUGAGCCCCGAGUUUCUUUUGCCAUGUGUAACUCUGAAAACAGGCUUUUCGCUGUUGGUGGAGUGAAUCACACUAUGAAUGAAGAGAGCAAGGAGGAGUCGGAGCAGGUUCUGGCUUCGGUAGAGAUGUACAAACCAGAAGAUAACACCUGGACCAACCUCCAGCCAAUGCCCAUUAAAUCUUCAGACCAGGCUGCUGUGUUCGUCAAUGGCUGUCUGUAUGUAACGGGCGGCAUCAGUGCUGAACCAGAGGAUCCGGUGCCACUGGAAUCCACAUGGUGUCUGAAGGUGGAUGGAUCAGAAGGAUGGGUCCCAAAGGCGAACAUGAUUAAUGGCAGACAGGGUCACAGCAUUACGGCUGUGGGUGGAAAACUGUAUGCUCUUGGUGGAUACACAGCAAAAGAAGACCGAAUCACGUUCACCGAACAGCUGAACUGUGAAGUGUUUGAUCUAGAAACUGGACAAUGGACAGAAAUUGCCCCCACCCCUGAAGCCUUUGGGCAUCUGUUACCUUACAGUGCUGCGUUGUUCGAUAAAGUGUUCCUGAUGGGAGGUAUUGACAAUAAUGUUAACCUAUAUAUCUACGAUCCGGAGAGUGACACAUGGGAAGAAGCCGAUGUGAUUGGGCCUAAUGUCCAAAAACUUGCCAUCCUGGAUGUAGCAUAUCCAUACACUUAAUGACUUCCAUUAGAAAAUUAGGUUUCCAAAUUCAUGUACUGUAAAAUGUGAUUUAUGAUGAGCCUUUAAUUAUCAGAGAAGUUGUAUACAUGUAAAUGAUUUUGUUAUAGCAUGCAAUGAUAGCAGUUAUGAUUUUCAGAUUUACUUAAAUCGCAUUUACAUGUAUAUUGUAAAUAUGUGUUAUUAUAUUAAUACUUUCAUGAUGUAUUCAGCAUGACUGCAAUUCAUAGAAUAAGAGACUGUUUACUUUUUGCAUUUUUCUGAAUAUAAUUUUUAAGUAAUGCAUACCGGUAAAUGUGGUAUAAAAUGGUUGUAAUC